GAUGAACGCUGGCGGCGUGCCUAAUACAUGCAAGUCGAGCGAACAGACGAGGAGCUUGCUCCUCUGACGUUAGCGGCGGACGGGUGAGUAACACGUGGAUAACCUACCUAUAAGACUGGGAUAACUUCGGGAAACCGGAGCUAAUACCGUAUAAUAUAUUGAACCGCAUGGUUGAAUAGUGAAAGACGGUGUUGCUGUCACUUAUAGAUGGAUCCGCGCCGCAUUAGCUAGUUGGUAAGGUAACGGCUUACCAAGGCAACGAGGCGUAGCCGACCUGAGAGGGUGAUCGCCCACACUGGAACUGAGCCACGGUCCAGACGCCUACGGGAGGCCGCAGUAGGGAAUCUUCCGCAAUGGGCGAAAGCCUGACGGAGCAACGCCGCGUGAGUGAUGAAGGUCUUCGGAUCGUAAAACUCUGUUAUUAGGGAAGAACAAAUGUGUAAGUAACUAUGCACGUCUUGACGGUACCUAAUCAGAAAGCCACGGCUAACUACGUG
rnacentral:rRNA from 1 species